UACGGAGGGUGCGAGCGUUGUCCGGAAUCAUUGGGCGUAAAGGGCGCGUAGGUGGCCCGGUCAGUCAGUGGUGAAAGCGCGGGGCUCAACUCCGCGUCGGCCAUUGAUACUGCUGGGCUGGAGCACUGUAGAGGCAGGCGGAAUUCCGGGUGUAGCGGUGGAAUGCGUAGAGAUCCGGAAGAACACCGGUGGCGAAGGCGGCCUGCUGGGCAGUUGCUGACACUGAGGCGCGACAGCGUGGGGAGCAAACAGG
rnacentral:rRNA from 1 species